rnacentral:rRNA from 1 species
CGUAAUUUAGGCAUAUUACUAAGCGGAGGAAAAGAAACUAACAAGGAUUCCCCCAGUAGCGGCGAGCGAACAGGGAAGAGUCCAGCACCGAACCCCGCAGGCUAGCGCCUGCCGUGGCAUGUGGUGUUUGGGAGGGCCCAUUACCCCGGUGCUUCGCGCYGAGUCCAAGUCCAACUUGAAUGAGGCCACGGCCCGUAGAGGGUGCCAGGCCCGUAGCGGCCGGUGCGAGUGCCGGGAGGACCUCUCCUCCGAGUCGGGUUGCUUGAGAGUGCAGCUCCAAGUGGGUGGUAAACUCCAUCUGAGACUAAAURUGACCACGRGACCGAUAGCGAACAAGUACCGUGAGGGAAAGUUGAAAAGAACUUUGAAGAGAGAGUUCAAAAGUACGUGAAACCGUUCUGGGGUAAACGUGMGAAGUCCGAAAGGUCGAACGGGGAGAUUCACGUCCAUCCGGCCACUGGCCCCCGCCCCCAGGAGAUGGGGCCGGCCGCCCGCGUGGAGGAAUGCGCGUCGGGGUCGCGUCCGGUCGCUUGSCUGUGGGGUAGGGCCGUUCCAGUGSGCGGUGGACCGCACUUCUCCCCUAGUAGGACGUCGCGACCCGCUGGGUGCCGGCCUACGGCCCGGGUGCGCAGCCUGUCCUUCCGCGGGCCUCGGUUCGCGUCGUUGGGCAGAGCCCCGGUGCUCCGGCUGGCUGCUCGGCGGUAUAUCUGGAGGAGUCGAUUCSCCGACCUUUCUGUGUUGGGCGCCCUUGGCUCCCGGCAAGCGUGCGCGGUUCUUCCCGGAUGACGGACCUACCUGGCCCGGCCCCGGACCCGCGCCGCUGUUGGCACGGGAAGUCCUCGGGCGGAAUGAUCGCUCCCGUCAGCGGCGCUUCAGCUUUGGACAAUUUCACGACCCGUCUUGAAACACGGACCAAGGAGUCUAACAUGUGCGCGAGUCAUUGGGCUCUGCGAAACCUAAAGGCGCAAUGAAAGUGAAGGUCCCGCCUCGUGCGGACCGAGGGAAGAUGGGGCCGUUUUCCUUUUUGCGGCCCCCGCAUUCCCGGGGCGUCUCGUCCUCAUUGCGAGGUGAGGCGCACCCAGAGCGUACACGUUGGGACCCGAAAGAUGGUGAACUAUGCCUGGCCAGGACGAAGUCAGGGGAAACCCUGAUGGAGGUCCGUAGCGAUUCUGACGUGCAAAUCGAUCGUCGGAGCUGGGUAUAGGGGCGAAAGACUAAUCGAACCAUCUAGUAGCUGGUUCCCUCCGAAGUUUCCCUCAGGAUAGCUGGUGCUCAUACGAGUCUCAUCCGGUAAAGCGAAUGAUUAGAGGCCUUGGGGCCGAAACGACCUCAACCUAUUCUCAAACUUUAAAUGGGUGAGAUCUCCGGCUUGCUUGAUAUGGUGAAGCCGCGAGCUCGGAUCGGAGUGCCAAGUGGGCCACUUUUGGUAAGCAGAACUGGCGCUGUGGGAUGAACCAAACGCCGAGUUAAGGCGCCCGAAUCGACGCUCAUGGGAAACCAUGAAAGGCGUUGGUUGCUUAAGACAGCAGGACGGUGGCCAUGGAAGUCGGAAUCCGCUAAGGAGUGUGUAACAACUCACCUGCCGAAGCAACUAGCCCUGAAAAUGGAUGGCGCUGAAGCGUCGUGCCUAUACUCGGCCGUCAGUACGGCAGUCAUGGCCGGUCCCCGUGGCCGGCCGCGAAGCCCUGACGAGUAGGAGGGUCGCGGCGGUGAGCGCAGAAGGGUCUGGGCGUGAGCCUGCCUGGAGCCGCCGUCGGUGCAGAUCUUGGUGGUAGUAGCAAAUACUCCAGCGAGGCCCUGGAGGGCUGACGCGGAGAAGGGUUUCGUGUGAACAGCCGUUGCACACGAGUCAGUCGAUCCUAAGCCCUAGGAGAAAUCCGAUGUCGAUGGGGGCCGCAACGAACGUCGCUGGCCCCCGUUGGGCGAAAGGGAAUCCGGUUCCUAUUCCGGAACCCGGCAGCGGAACCGAAACAAGUCGGGCCUCUCUUCUCGAGAGGCUCGUCGGGGUAACCCAAAAGGACCCGGAGACGCCGUCGGGAGAUCGGGGAAGAGUUUUCUUUUCUGCAUGAGCGUUCGAGUUCCCUGGAAUCCUCUAGCAGGGAGAUAGGGUUUGGAACGCGAAGAGCACCGCAGUUGCGGCGGUGUCCCGAUCUUCCCCUCGGACCUUGAAAAUCCGGGAGAGGGACACGUGGAGGUGUCGCGCCGGUUCGUACCCAUAUCCGCAGCAGUCUCCAA